rnacentral:lncRNA from 1 species
UUUUAUUUGACUACAACUAAAUGUUAUCUAUUUUGUUUUCAUUGUAAUUUGUUGUUUCAUUGUUAUUUGUAUUUCAUUGUUAUCAUUGUAAUUUAAUGUUACAAUGAUACUAUAAAUGUAAGACCUAGAGCAUUUGGUCUUAGUUACUUGAAAACUAGUUACUUAGUUACUUGAAAACUAGAACUGCUCAGUAGAUAAGGUCUAGAUUUAAAGUAACUAUAAGUAUAUGGGGUUUACCUUAUACCUUUCUGAUGAGGGUUCUAGAUGUGUUUUAUUUCUAGAUAUUUACCGCAUUCUCCAAAUCCUUGGAGUUGCAUCUUAGUAAAUAAAUCUUGUCUCUGAAAUUUUGUUUCAUUUAUUAUUAACAAGUAAAAUAAUUGCAAAGGCAGAGUUUAUCAUCAUAAUGUAAGAUUUAAUUUCCAGUGCUUUAUGGUAGUUUUAUAAGAUACAUGAAAAAGUAAUUAUGUCUGAUUUGUAGAUAUUAAAGAGCUUAGCUAAUUGAGUUAUCUGUAUGCAACUAAAUUAAAUCUUUAUUACUGACCCUU